rnacentral:rRNA from 1 species
AGAGUUUGAUCAUGGCUCAGAACGAACGCUGGCGGCAGGCUUAACACAUGCAAGUCGAACGCCCCGCAAGGGGAGUGGCAGACGGGUGAGUAACGCGUGGGAAUCUACCUUGAACUACGGGAUAGCUCCGGGAAACUGGAAUUAAUACCGUAUGUGCCCUUAGGGGGAAAGAUUUAUCGGUUCAAGAUGAGCCCGCGUUGGAUUAGCUAGUUGGUGGGGUAAAGGCCUACCAAGGCGACGAUCCAUAGCUGGUCUGAGAGGAUGACCAGCCACAUUGGGACUGAGACACGGCCCAAACUCCUACGGGAGGCAGCAGUGGGGAAUAUUGGUCAAUGGACGCAAGUCUGAACCAGCCAUGCCGCGUGAAGGAUGAAGGUCCUCUGGAUUGUAAACUUCUUUUAUAGGGGACGAAACCCCGGUAUUCUUACCGGAUUGACGGUACCCUAGGAAUAAGCACCGGCUAACUCCGUGCCAGCAGCCGCGGUAAUACGGAGGGUGCAAGCGUUAUCCGGAUUCACUGGGUUUAAAGGGUGCGUAGGAGGGCAGGUAAGUCAGUGGUGAAAUCUUCGAGCUUAACUCGGAAACUGCCGUUGAUACUAUCUGUCUUGAAUCCCGUGGAGAUGAGCGGAAUAUGUCAUGUAGCGGUGAAAUGCUUAGAUAUGACAUAGAACACCAAUUGCGAAGGCAGCUCGUUACACGAAGAUUGACUCUGAGGCACGAAAGCGUGGGGAUCAAACAGGAUUAGAUACCCCGGUAGUCC